UACGGGGGGGGCAAGCGUUGUUCGGAAUUACUGGGCGUAAAGGGCGCGUAGGCGGUUUGUUAAGUUGGAUGUGAAAACUGUGGGCUUAACCCAUAGCCUGCAUCCAAAACUAGCAGGCUAGAGUUCUGGAGGGGAUAGCGGAAUUCCUGGUGUAGCGGUGAAAUGCGUAGAUAUCAGGAGGAACACCGGUGGCGAAGGCGGCUAUCUGGACAGAGUCUGACGCUGAGGCGCGAAAGCCAGGGGAGCGAACGGG
rnacentral:rRNA from 1 species